AAUUCCUUGAUCAGCACCAUCUUCCCGGAACCCCCUCACAGCUGCCGCCGAUACCACCGCCGCCGCCGCCGCUACCGCCUCUCACAGCGCCUGCGCGGCCCCGCCUCCCUGCCCCCGAGCCACCAUAGCGCCUGCGUGCCUACACCCUUCCGCCGCGACCAGUCGCGUCAGCGCGCGAGGGGGCCUAGCUCCGCCCAGUUUCGUGCCCCACCCCGGGCACACGAGGCCUCCACUGCGGUUGCGCAGCCCGCCGAAGAGCUUGCGGCUUUUACUGCGGCUGCGCAAACUCGACGCGCGCACUCCUGUCCGCUGACGAGGGCUCCUCCCUUCAGCUUCAGUCCCUCGGGGCGUUUGGGCAGCCUACGCUUUCCGCCUUGGCAGCUCACGUUCCGCGGGAGGACGUUCACCUGCUUCGCGGUCUCGUGGAGGUCCACCGCGGCGGAGAAUCCUAAACCUCACCUGUGACGCGGCAGGAUGAGCGGCCAACACUCCCGACGAAGGCGCUCUUGGGGAAAGGAGGCGCUUGGCCUCGAGACCCAGGAAAGGGGGCUGUUCUGGGAGUUAGUUCGCGCAGUUACAGCGAAUGCGCCAUGGGCCUCAAAGCCGCAGCCCGGAGGUCGCUGGCUUGCUCUGUGCCAGACACGGUUCUAUAGAGGCAGUGGGGAGGCAUGUGAAAGCAGACACGGUCCCUGUUCUCAAGAAGCCCACAGUCUAGAGGAGACAACUCACUUGGGAAAAAACCAGGGAGAAUUUGGGGUGGUGGGGAAGUGCUAUGCUAUGAAUACAGUGGAGUACUGGGAAAGGCAGGGAACUCAAGACAAGGGCUGUCUUAGGAGGCGGUGUUUGAACCUAGCCUGUUAGGAUGUGAGAGGGGCAUUCCAGUUGGAGGGAAAUAGGACCCGAGAAUGCAAUAAGCUUAGGGUAUUUAAGGAUCGGCUAGAGGGCAGAUGUGGCCAGAACAUCGUAAGUGAGGGUGGCAAAUGAGCUGGGACCAACUAGAUCACUAGGCCAUAGUAAAGAAUUUGUGUUCUAAGAACCAUGAGAACCUAUUGAAAGGCUAUUAAGACGAUUAAAAUAUCACGAAAACAUUUUUGUGUAAACAUCUGGUGUAUCUGAUACUGGAAUAUACGUCUGUGGAGUUAGGGCUACCUCAAAAAAAAUAAUGGAAAUGAAGUGACUCAGUGACUCCCAGGGACUGCCUUAGGAGAAGGUUUCUGGAAUGUCAAAACUUCCAGAAACUUUCUCCUAAGGCAGUUCCAGGGAGUCACCGAGUUUCUCUUGUGUGUGAAUAGUGCUAGUUAUUGUGAGGGCAGAGAUUUAAGGAAACGCACGCUCUUUCUUGCAAGAGUUGAGAAGCUUAGAAUCCGCUUUGUUGAUUGGACAUUGGAUUUUAUGCCAAGUACUGUGCUAAGUAAUAGAGAUGUUUUAUUUUAUUUCACCCUUAGAACAUUAUGAGAUGUAUUUUAGCAUGCUUUACGAGGGGGAAUAAAAUGAGAUUCAGGGAGUCAAGUGACUUGUACUAGCUUGUUUGCAGAGCCGGGUUUCAAAUCCAGAUUUUAAAAACGUCAAAGUCUGGUCCAUUCAUUACACUAAUUUCCUAGAUGAAAGUUAAGUUGGGGCGUGCAGACCAUCUUUAUGAGAAAUAAUUGUUCUCAAUUAUGGAAAGGAGACUAAAGUCAAAUUCUAGAAGAUAUUUAGAAAAAUUAAGGGAUUGAAUACUAUAAAUCUGUAUGCUUAGGGAGUGUUCUUUAAAGUCUAAGGAGGUAAUAUUAACAUUAAUUGCCAAAUUUAUGUGGUAAGGAGUCAUUUUAUGUUGUAAUCUUUCUCCCCACGUUAUGCUUGUUGAAAAUAUAACUUUUUAAACGUUGCAGAUAAAUUUAUGGCUGACUUGCUUUAUCAAUCAUUAAGAAAAAGGAAAUUUUACAUCAUUUCUCUAAUUUUUGAAGUCUCCCACAAGUGUUCACUAGUUCUUUUGUCUGCAUAACACAAUUCUUCUCAUAGAUGUACUCAGAUGUUUGUGAAAUAAACGAGACAGUAUGCUGGAUGGAGCAUGCCUCCAAACCAGUAUACAAUAUAGACGGUGCCUCCCUUUCCUAUUGUUUAAAAAAAUUAUUUGAUGAUACUCGUUCAAGUAUAGUAAGGCAGACUUUAUUCAGGACCUUCGAAAUAAGUAUACGGACCACUGUAAUGGGAUUUUGUAGUGGGGGAAAGAGAUUGGGCUCAACUCUGAACACAGCAUGGGCAAGUGAGGGUUUAUAGCCAAGGAACAAGAUGGUUGGACCUAGGGCGAUCAGUGGAUGGAAAAUUAUUAAGAGGAUACAUCCGGUUCUGGCUAAAGUAACCUAACAUAAUUCUUGCUGAAGACGUGAUCAGACAUCAUCUGGGGAAUGGUGGAGGAUGAAGAACAGAUACCAAGGAUUGGGGAGGUUCUGUUAAAACUAGAUUUUACAACUGUUUGGUGGGGCAAUGUAUUGUUGUCACAAUCAAAAGGUUCAUAUUAAAAGACUCAAUUGAGAAGGAUAGAUUAAGAAAGUAACCGGUUUAGAUGUAUUUAUUGAGGGAAAGAUUAGCUAGGUUGCUGGAAAACAUGAAAUCUGUAUAACAAAAUAAUCCUACAUCUUUUUCAAGGAUAAAAAUGGCAGAAUGAAAGAAUUAUAAGUGGAACUAGAGAAUAGGAAAGCCACGAACCAGUGCCCAAAAUGAGAAAGAAGGACAUACAAAGAAAAAGACAAAUACACGUGAAAAAAAUAGACUAGUGGAUUUAUGUCCCUGUUGUGUGACAUUUUCUUGUAUAACAGCUGAAGAUGUUGAAGCCUGUGGUGCAUUUUUGCAAAUGUAUGUAUAAAGUGGAAUGUAAGUUUUACCAGUAAUUGUCUGUAGAUACAAAAAGCCAACCCUUUUUUUUGUUUGUUUUAGUGUGGUGUUCCUUGUUUUAUCUUUGAAUUCUCAAAGGUAGCCUUUACACAGAUGUUCAGUUAAACUAAUUCUACCAGUGUCAUAUGUCUACCAAUCUCAUUAUUUCCCUUGUAUGUACUUCUAGGUCAAAGAGCUCAUUACAGUAAGAAUGAUGGUAAAUUUUACCAAGGUAAAAGAUUUCUGAACACGA